AAAUCCUAGUAAAAAAGAUAAACUUCCUUGUGUCUUGGCGACACGGCGUCAGUUUCCUAUUUUUAUACGGAUUU
rnacentral:ncRNA from 1 species